rnacentral:tRNA from 1 species
GUCUCAGUAGCAUGGUGAUCAGUGCACAGCCCCGAUUAGGCUUGAGACGCGGGUUCGAAUCCCGUCUGAGAUU